GAAAUACAGCUUCACAUUUUCACAAUAGGUACAUGUGACCUUCAAGAAUGGUACAGGCUUCAGGAACUUGCUUCAAAAAUUCCAUUCACAGAGUCCAUCCAUAUAUCAGCAUUAAGAAAUCCUGAAAGUGCCAAGAAGACAGUGGAGAGUGUUCUGGCUCAAAUUAAUUAAAGAAUCAACAGAGAAGGGCCCCCUUUAAAAACGGCCAUCCCAGAGCAAGGCUCAAGAUGUAUUAAGCAAGCCUAGAAUGGAUGGAAAGUUCGUUAAACCGGCUUUAAAGGGCCCUGGAAACCGGAGAAUCCGGGUUUGGGAGUUCUCUACAGGAAGUGAAAGAAGGCUCCGGAGGAGUAUUGCUUGCUUUCUGGUUGGUCACAUUUCUGAGAGCUGAGGGGGCCGAAUCCACAAACUCAGUGACAACGACCGACAGAGCACAAGGAAUCUGAAGACUUAGAGAAGAUUUAUGUUGCGCCAACGUUUCAUAUCACCUGACCGUGACACCUGAAUGUUAGACCAAGGGAUUUCAAAGCCACCCUGUUCUCACUCACAGAAGACUGUUUUGGAUAAUGUUGUACGUGGAUGAGGCCAAAGAACCAGAACAUUUUCUUCUGAUUAUUACCCUGCUGGCCUGCCACACACAGCAAGGAGGCAGGUGUCCGACACACGUAGCUAAAGGAAGACCAUCCUGGAUAACUGGACGGAGGGCCCAGCUGGGAGACAAGGGCAAUCAGGACUAGGGUCGAAAACGAGUGCAAGGCGAAUGCAGCAAAGACGUGUUCUCGAACCCUGCUUUUCU